rnacentral:rRNA from 1 species
AGUGAACGCUGGCGGUAGGCCUAACACAUGCAAGUCGAACGGCAGCACAGUAAGAGCUUGCUCUUACGGGUGGCGAGUGGCGGACGGGUGAGGAAUACAUCGGAAUCUACUUUUUCGUGGGGGAUAACGUAGGGAAACUUACGCUAAUACCGCAUACGACCUACGGGUGAAAGCAGGGGAUCUUCGGACCUUGCGCGAUUGAAUGCGCCGAUGUCGGAUUAGCUAGUUGGCGGGGUAAAGGCCCACCAAGGCGACGAUCGGUAGCUGGUCUGAGAGGGUGUUCAGCGACACAGGAGCUGAGACGCGGCCCAGGCUCCGAGAGGCGGCAGAAGCGGGGAAGAGUGGAAAAAGGGCGGAAGCCUGAACCAGCCAUGCCGCGUGGAUGAAGAAGGCCUGCGGGUGGGAAAGCCGUUUUGUGGGGAAAGAAAGGCAGCGGGUUAAAACCCCGCUGUGCUACCGGAACCGGAAGAAUAAGCACCGCCAAACACCGU